rnacentral:rRNA from 1 species
GACGAACGCUGGCGGCGUGCUUAACACAUGCAAGUCGAACGGAAAGGCCCUGCUUUUGUGGGGUGCUCGAGUGGCGAACGGGUGAGUAACACGUGAGUAACCUGCCCUUGACUUUGGGAUAACUUCAGGAAACUGGGGCUAAUACCGGAUAGGAGCUCCUGCUGCAUGGUGGGGGUUGGAAAGUUUCGGCGGUUGGGGAUGGACUCGCGGCUUAUCAGCUUGUUGGUGGGGUAGUGGCUUACCAAGGCUUUGACGGGUAGCCGGCCUGAGAGGGUGACCGGCCACAUUGGGACUGAGGUACGGCCCAGACUCCUACGGGAGGCAGCAGUGGGGAACAUUGCACAAUGGGCGGAAGCCUGAUGCAGCAACGCCGCGUGCGGGAUGACGGCCUUCGGGUUGUAAACCGCUUUCGCCUGUGACGAAGCGUGAGUGACGGUAAUGAGUAAAGAAGCACCGGCUAACUACGUG